rnacentral:lncRNA from 1 species
AGAGACACGGGCGUGUGUCUCGGUCGUGUGGUUGACAUGGCCUUGGACACAGGCGUGCUACACGGCCGUGUGAAAACUACACCUAAAUUUUGAAACUAAAAUUUGCCACACGGCCUAGCACACGGGCGUGUGCUAGGCCGUGUGGCUUCAAUUUCUUUAUGCCUUAAAAGUCAGAGAGUUACACGAGUUAGGGACACGGG